GACGAACGCUGGCGGCGUGCUUAACACAUGCAAGUCGAACGGACAGGCCCUGCUCUUGCGGGUUGCUCGUGUGGCGAACGGGUGAGUAACACGUGAGUAACCUGCCCUUGUCUUUGGGAUAACUUCAGGAGACUCGGGCUCUUACCGGAUAGGAUCUCCUGCUGCAUGUUGGUGGUUGGAGAGUUUCGGCGGUGGGGGAUGGUUUCGCGGCUUAUCAGCUUGUUUGUGUGGUAGUGGCUUACCAAGGUUGCGACGGGUAGCCGGCCUGAGAGGGUGACCGGGGACAUUGGGACUGAGAUACGGACCAGAAGGGAACGGGAGGCAGUGGUGGAGAACAUUGCACAGUGGGGGGAAGUGUGAGACAACGGCGCUGCGUGCGGGAUGACGGCCUUCGGGGUGUAAACAGCUGUCGAAGGAGACGAAGAGGGAGUGACGGUACUGGAUAAAGAAGCACCGGCUAACUACGUG
rnacentral:rRNA from 1 species